rnacentral:autocatalytically_spliced_intron from 1 species
AACCGCCGUAUGCCGAACGGCACGUACGGUGGUGUGAAAGGGGCUAGAUCUUAGCCCCUAUUCGAU